GAAGUAAAAGUCGUAACAAGGUCUCCGUUGGUGAACCAGCGGAGGGAUCAUUACCGAGUGUAAAAACUCCCAAACCAUUGUGAACCUACCACUGUUGCUUCGGCGGCCUCGCCCCGGGCGCGUUCGCGCGGCCCGGACCCAGGCGUCCGCCGGAGGCUCCAAACUCUUGUCUUUUAGUGUAUUUCUGAGUGGCAUAAGCAAAUAAAUCAAAACUUUCAGCAACGGAUCUCUUGGUUCUGGCAUCGAUGAAGAACGCAGCAAAAUGCGAUAAGUAAUGUGAAUUGCAGAAUUCAGUGAAUCAUCGAAUCUUUGAACGCACAUUGCGCCCGCCAGUAUUCUGGCGGGCAUGCCUGUCUGAGCGUCAUUUCAACCCUCAGGACCCGUUCGCGGGACCUGGCGUUGGGGAUCAGCCUGCCCCUGGCGGCGGCUGGCCCUGAAAUCCAGUGGCGGUUCCCUCGCGAACUCCUCCGUGCAGUAAUUAAACCUCUCGCGGCAGGAUAGCGGUUGAACCACGCCGUUAAACCCCCCACUUCUCAAGGUUGACCUCAGAUCAGGUAGGAAUACCCGCUGAACUUAAGCAUAUCAAUAAGCGGAGGAAAAGAAACCAACAGGGAUUGCCCUAGUAACGGCGAGUGAAGCGGCAACAGCUCAAAUUUGAAAUCUGGCCUCACGGUCCGAAUUGUAAUUUGUAGAGGAUGUUUCUGGCGACGUGUCUUCCGAGUUCCCUGGAACGGGACGCCAUAGAGGGUGAGAGCCCCGUCCGGUCGUACACCUAGCCUCUGUGA
rnacentral:misc_RNA from 1 species